rnacentral:rRNA from 1 species
AUGGAUCAGGAGCUGAUCGAGCACCUUGAGGCCAAAGUGAGUGCUGACAGCGCGAGAUUUCAGUCUCUCAUCGAUUUGUUCAUACCAACCAUCGACAGCGAGCACGGCAUAUGCUACACCCAACCUGAGAAACUUCCAAGUAUCACACUGAGUGGCCUAAGGAAGCAUUUCUUCCAGUGCAAUUCCAGGGCGUUCAAAAGGGGCACGUGGACGCGUUGCAAGAUACAGUCGGAGUGCGGCAUGCACGCGAUGUGGCACAAGACCGGCAAUACCUUGCUGGUGAUGGUCAACGGCCGGCAGACGGGCAGCAAAAAAGGUUCUGGUGCUGCACACCAACAAGAACUUCGACCAGCAGAGGACCAACUGGGUGAUGCACCAGUACCACCUCGGGGACCUGGAGCAAGAGAAGGAGCGGGAGCUGGUCCUCUACAAGAUUUUCUACCAGACGAACACUAG